rnacentral:rRNA from 1 species
UACAGAGGGUGCAAGCGUUAAUCGGAAUUACUGGGCGUAAAGGGUGCGUAGGCGGUCGGGUAAGUCUGAUGUGAAAUCUCAGAGCUCAACUCUGAAACUGCAUUGGAUACUAUUCGGCUUGAGGUCUGGAGGGGGGACUGGAAUUCUCGGUGUAGCAGUGAAAUGCGUAGAUAUGCGGAGGAACACCGAUGGCGAAGGCAAUCCCCUGGGCCUGCACUGACGCUCAUGCACGAAAGCGUGGGGAGCAAACAGG